UUACCCUGGUGGAAACAGACACCCGGGCACCCACUGCCUGGCUGGGGAUGGGAGCUGAGGCUCGGUUAACCAAUGAAGGUCCCUGCCAGGACACAAAGCCUCCCCUGAAAGUCCAUAAGAACUGCCCGCUCGCCAGUGACCAGGGGGCUGAUCCCUUCUCUUGGGAAAAUACGGUAGAAUUGCCCUCGUGGGCCUGUGCCACACUCAGAAUCCCAGAGAGGAGGCGUUUUGGACAUCUCCUCCAGUAAGGGUGCAGCCUCCAGACCAGAAGAGGCCCAAAAGCCAUGGAAGGGAGAAGACUCUUAAAGUUGGAGUUUUGCAGCCACAGCUCAGGAAUGCCUGGGACCACCUGAAGCCUGAAGAGACAGGCAAGGCUCCUUCCCUUCCAGGUUUCAGAGGGAACACGGCCCUGUCGAUACCUUGUUUUCCGAUGUCCAGCCUCCAGAACUGA